GGGGCCGUAGCUCAGCCUGGUAGAGCGCCUGGCUCAUAACCAGGUGGCCGUCGGUUCAAACCCGACCGGCCCCA
rnacentral:tRNA from 1 species